rnacentral:rRNA from 1 species
GACAGAGGGUGCAAACGUUGUUCGGAUUUACUGGGCGUAAAGCGCGUGUAGGCGGCUUGGCAAGUCGGAUGUGAAAGCCCACGGCUCAACCGUGGAAGCGCAUCCGAAACUGCUUCGCUCGAGUCUCGGAGAGGAAGGUGGAAUGCUUGGUGUAGAGGUGAAAUUCGUAGAUAUCAAGCAGAACACCUGCGGCGAAGGCGGCCUUCUGGACGAUGACUGACGCUGAGACGCAAAAGCGUGGGGAGCAAACAGG